UACAGAGGGUGCGAGCGUUAAUCGGAAUUACUGGGCGUAAAGCGCGCGUAGGUGGUUGGUUAAGUUGGAUGUGAAAGCCCCCGGGCGUCAACCUGGGAACGUGCAUCCAAAACCUAGGGCGACUAGAGUACAGUAGAGGGUGGUGGAAUUUCCUGUGUAGCGGUGAAAUGCGUAGACAUAGGAAGGAACACCAGUGGCGAAGGCGACUACCUGGACUGAUACUGACACUGAGGUGCGAAAGCGUGGGGAGCAAACAGG
rnacentral:rRNA from 1 species